GUUCAUUUUCUAUCAGUCAAACUUUCAAGUUCAACUUGAUAGGCAUCAGUUCCUUCUCUAAGAAACUUCUUUCCAAAAAGAAUGUCCUACUGGUGAUAAGCAUCUUAUGUUCUUCAGCAUGAUAGAAUUAGUAACCCUUAAACACCUAUUGGAUCAAGAACCAAGUUUAUCUGUAUGCAAACCUUUGACAUAGGCCGAUCAACUCCAAACCCAAAGGUGAGAGGUCUAGAUCUAUGCCCAUUUUAUAUCUCAUAUGGAAUCUGCACAACAGACUUACUCAGUAUAUUUUAAGAGUAAAACAGGUAAUCACACAAGAGCAUAAUCCUGAAACAGGUAGAGAAGUGAACCCUAUUGUAAAUUGAACCAUGUCUAACAAAGUUCAACUUCUCCUUUCAGAUACACUUUGUUCUGAAAAGGAAUCCACCGAGAGAGAAUCGAAUUCUCUCCUAGAUAUAUCACAAACUCACUGAAUAAGUAUUCACCUCCUCGAUC
rnacentral:lncRNA from 1 species